rnacentral:tRNA from 1 species
UCUCAGUUAGGUUAAGUUAAACCUCUAAUUUGUGGAGUUAGGAAUAUAUUUUAUACUGAGAA